rnacentral:rRNA from 1 species
UACGUAGGGGGCCAGCGUUGUCCGGAAUCAUUGGGCGUAAAGCGCGCGUAGGCGGCCUCAUAAGUCCGUUGUGAAAGUCAAAGGCUCAACAUUUGAAAGCCGAUGGAUACUGUGAGGCUAGAGUCCGGAAGAGGCGAGUGGAAUUCCUGGUGUAGCGGUGGAAUGCGCAGAUAUCAGGAGGAACACCAAUAGCGAAGGCAGCUCGCUGGGACGGUACUGACGCUAAGGCGCGAAAGCGUGGGGAGCGAACAGG